AUUGAACGCUGGCGGCAGGCUUAACACAUGCAAGUCGAACGAGUGGCGGACGGGUGAGUAAUGCAUGGGAAUGUGCCUUGUGGCGGGGGAUAACUACUGGAAACUGUGGCUAAUACCGCGUACCAUAGGAUGAGCCCAUAUUGGAUUAGGUAGUUGGUGGGGUAAAGGCUUACCAAGCGACGAUCCCUAGCUGGUUUGAGAGGAUGACCAGCCACACGGGGACUGAGACACGGCCCAGACUCCUACGGGAGGCAGCAGUGGGGAAUUUUGCCCAAUGGGGGAAACCCUGACCCAGCCAUGCCGCGUGAAUGAAGAAGGCCUUCGGGUUGUAAAGUUCUUUCGGUGGGGAAGCGGUAUUUGCAGAAGAAGCACCGGCUAACUCCGUGCCAGCAGCCGCGGUAAUAC
rnacentral:rRNA from 1 species